UGUUUACUUCCUGUGGCCGUGGAACCCGUAUUAUCGUAUACGGCGAGAAUGGCCCUGGAGACGGUGCCAAAGGACCUGCGGCAUCUGCGAGCUUGUUUGCUGUGCUCGUUAGUCAAGACUAUAGACCAGUUUGAAUAUGAUGGGUGUGACAAUUGCGAUGCAUACCUACAAAUGAAGGGCAACAGAGAGAUGGUGUACGACUGCACCAGCUCUUCAUUUGAUGGUGGUGCCUUGCCUGGAGCUGUUCCUGCUGUGCUCAGCAGCCCCUCUGGCAGGGCAGGCUCAGGCUGACUCUUCGUCCUCCCUCUCUAGAAUCAUCGCGAUGAUGAGUCCAGAGGACAGCUGGGUCUCCAAGUGGCAGCGCGUCAGUAACUUUAAGCCAGGUGUAUAUGCUGUGUCAGUCACUGGUCGUCUGCCCCAAGGAAUUGUGCGGGAGCUGAAAAGUCGAGGAGUGGCCUACAAAUCGAGAGACACAGCAAUAAAGACCUAGCUAGAUGCAGGCCAUAGCGUCUUGUUCUCUACUUCUGUCCUUGUUUUCUUGUGGAACUAAAAGGUGGGACCCAAAGACUCCUUGCCCUCCAGCUCAGGAUCAGCAGACCCCGUGAAGGCAGCACAUCCGGCCUUAAGUCACCUCCCUUUCUCUGACCACUGGUGAAGUGGGAGUGUCUGAGUGGAUUCUCAGAGGCUGUAUCAGGAGAGUAAGAUGCUGAUUUCCCACCUCUGUUCAGGGUUUUGCCUUUGUCCAUGGGCAGGACUUUGGUUCAAAUGCCAAUAAAACAAACCUUUGGAGUACUUAAACAAAACUUAAAGAGUA
rnacentral:lncRNA from 1 species